UACGUAGGGUGCGAGCGUUAAUCGGAAUUACUGGGCGUAAAGCGUGCGCAGGCGGUUUGUUAAGACAGAUGUGAAAUCCCCGGGCUUAACCUGGGAACUGCAUUUGUGACUGGCAAGCUAGAGUAUGGCAGAGGGGGGUAGAAUUCCACGUGUAGCAGUGAAAUGCGUAGAUAUGCGGAGGAACACCGAUGGCGAAGGCAAUCCCCUGGACCUGUACUGACGGCUCAUG
rnacentral:rRNA from 1 species